rnacentral:rRNA from 1 species
GUAGGGAAUCUUCCACAAUGGACGCAAGUCUGAUGGAGCAACGCCGCGUGAGUGAAGAAGGUCUUCGGAUCGUAAAGCUCUGUUGUUGGUGAAGAAGGAUAGAGGCAGUAACUGGUCUUUAUUUGACGGUAAUCAACCAGAAAGUCACGGCUAACUACGUGCCAGCAGCCGCGGUAAUACGUAGGUGGCAAGCGUUGUCCGGAUUUAUUGGGCGUAAAGCGAUCGCAGGCGGAAUGAUAAGUCUGAUGUGAAAGCCCACGGCUCAACCGUGGAACUGCAUCGGAAACUGUCAUUCUUGAGUGCAGAAGAGGAGAGUGGAACUCCAUGUGUAGCGGUGGAAUGCGUAGAUAUAUGGAAGAACACCAGUGGCGAAGGCGGCUCUCUGGUCUGCAACUGACGCUGAGGCUCGAAAGCAUGGGUAGCGAACAGGAUUAGAUACCCUUGUAGUCC